ensembl:antisense Ube4bos1 ubiquitination factor E4B, opposite strand 1
CUCUGAAACCCACCUGUAUAGAACUUCAUGAGGGACGGCACCAGCAGUUUGGUAGAGAGAGGAUGGUUCUCAAUCAUCUCAAAGAACUUCUGAGUUCUCGGCUGGACAGAAGGGUUGGUCAUGAACAUGACCUCCACCAGCUUGGCCACUAGCAUCAACAGUUCUGUGCUACUCUCAAGCAAAAUAUCUGUCUGCAACAUCUCAGAGGGCCGCCUGCCAGAGGAGACACACAGAGCCACAUCUCAGAGGGCCUCCUGCCAGAGGAGAGGCACAGAGGCCACAUCUCAGAGGGCCGCCUGCCAGAGGAGAGGCACAGAGGCCACAUCUCAGAGGGCCACCUGCCAGAGGAGACACACAGAGCCACAUCGUGCAAGUGGAUGUUGAGCUUCUUACAGACCCCUUAGUCACAACAAUGGAAUAUAAGGGAGGCUACAGAUCUGAAAGAAGAGCUCCGGUCAUUCUGCAUCCUGACGUUCGAAGCGAUGAGGAUGAGAGGGCCAGGCCCACGUCACUCACAGAGCUCUGUCAGCCGCUCAUUCACAUCCUCCAUCGUUGCAUUUAUCCGUGUCUCAUCAUUCGGGAGAGUGAUCCGACAUCUUGGGUGGAAUAUGUAAGUGGGGUCAACUGUUUCUAACUUGAUUUUUGUACUUAGCUGCUGCAGGACCCAAAGGAGAUUCAGCAUAAACCCGUCUGUAGACACCAACCGAUCAUCUGCCUGUGACAUAAGACGUGAAGCAAUUGAAACAAUUGUUAGGCACACAUUUUGCAAAUCUAUGAAAGCACAUUCAAAUGUAACCAGGCCCUAAAGCCAGUGACAGGACACGUGGCUACCACUGUCAAUCAGCUAGCAGGUGCCAGCCCAGCAAGGUUCUACCUAUCCAUCACCACAGACUCACUGACCUCUGUAAUAACCCACAGUCCAUACACUAUAACUCACACUUCAGAGAAGAGUCAAUGAAUCGGUGUCAGUAAGUAAAAACACAGCAACUGUAGCUUCCGUUUCCUUUCUUAUUUCUCAAGAGCAAUGAGCUGUCCUUAGCCCACAUGACAGCUUUCCCAUCUUACACAGUGAGUACAGCCCUGGCUGAAUGACAGAGGUUCAGGGAUCACGACACACUCAGAACGAUUCUAAUGGUCUACAUGUAAAAGGCUCACAAAUUAGUGGUCACUCUUAAACCCACUUAGCAAAUGAAGAAACUGAGGCACAGAGAAGUAACUAUCAGAUGUGGCCAACUUACCGACUACAUGUGGCAAAAGCCAGCUGUAAAUGUGGCCCAAUGUAAAACUAUAGACUUACACAGAACAUGAUGGAUUUUUGCACAUGACCUCUUUGACUGUGUAUUCUUGGCUGUUGAGUUAUGGGUGACACUACCAUGUGACAAUGUCAACAGAUGACAUACCAGAAUACUAAUGAGUGUCCAAAGACACUGGGAUUUUGCAAUUCUCCAUACUUUUAUUCUUUUGCUUCCAAGAUCUUACUAAAAACAGUCUACAGUUUUAACUUUCCCACUGUUACCAUGCACACUGGAGUCCUCAAGACUUCUUGGUGCUUCUUCAGGUCUGCUUCCAACCCCACACCUUGUCAUUUUGUGGCUGACACAUGUUUCCUUCUGUGGAUUCUACUAGAGUUCUCAUCGGUAAAAUAGACUCAAGAGCAUGUUACCUGCCCAUGUCCCCUGAGUCAAAGGAACUGUGUGUGCCGGGCUUGCAAUAAAGCUGGCUCAUUUCUAACCUAACACACGAUCACCAGGAGGGCUCUUUUCUCAGCCUUGUAAGGAGCCGCUCUUCAGUCGAAGCUUUAAUACGAGGCUGUUCUGCUGCCUGAUCAACAGCCACCCCUGUGCUGCCGUUCCGGCAUUUUACAAGUACGCCUGAAUCCUUCACACUUCCAUCAGCGACUACUACUGCCUGGAUGCUGUGCUUGCAUGGCCACCCCCUGCCUGAGACCUCGGGCUGCACAGAAGCAAGAUGCUUGCCCGUCUUGUUCUGUGCUGCCUUCCCAACCCCCAGAACGCAGCCUGGGAGGCGCAAAAUCAUAUCUGCACUGGAGAACAGGUUUAAUGAGUAACUGAAAGCACUUGGGGACUCCUACCUGCAUCUGGGCUUUCUUCAUGUUGGCAUUGACAAGGGCCGCCAUGUAGCUGAGAGCCGCUUCACGAGUUUCGCCGUUUAACAAAAUACUAUGUAGAAUCUUGAAAAGUUCUUGCUAAAUUAUUUUCAAAAUGAAAAAA